CGCCUUGCCAGCCCGCUCAGAAACUUAAAGGAAUUGACGGGGCCCGCACAAGCGGAGGAGCAUGUGGUUAAUUCGAUGAUACGCGAGGAACCUUACCUGGGCUCGAACGUAAGAUGACUGUAGGUGAAAGCUUACAUCUCUUCGGAGCAUUUUACGAGGUGCUGCAUGGUUGUCGUCGGCUCGUGCCGUGAGGUGUCGGGUUAAGUCCCAUAACGAGCGCAACCCUACCUUUAGUUGCCAUCAGGUAAUGCUGGGGACUCUAAAGGAACUGCCUACGCAAGUAGUGAGGAAGGCGGGGAUGACGUCAAAUCAGCACGGCCCUUACGUCCAGGGCUACACACGUGCUACAAUGGCCGAUACAGAGGGCAGCUACCUGGUGACAGGAUGCAAAUCUCCAAAGUCGGUCUCAGUUCGGAUCGGAGUCUGCAACCCGACUCCGUGAAGUUGGAUUCGCUAGUAAUCGCGCAUCAGCCAUGGCGCGGUGAAUACGUUCCCGGGCCUU
rnacentral:rRNA from 1 species